rnacentral:rRNA from 1 species
CGUCGCAAGCUUACCCUGUGAAGGUCUCGUAGUAAGCAAAAUGGUUAUAUACCAGAACGUCAGGUCGAGGUGUAGCUCACGAGGUGGGAAGAAAUGGGCUACAUUUUCUAUUUCAGAAUAUCACGAAUAGCACUAUGAAACUAGUAAUUGAAGGUGGAUUUAGCAGUAAAAAAUAAACAGAGAGUCUUUUUGAACCAGGCUCUGAGAUGCGUACACACCGCCCGUCACUCUCCCUAUUUCAACUAAUACUAAGUAUAUAACCAAAAAAUUCAAAACACAGGGAGGCAAGUCGUAACAUGG